rnacentral:rRNA from 1 species
AUUGAACGCUGGCGGCAGGCCUAACACAUGCAAGUCGAACGGUAACAGGAAACAGCUUGCUGUUUCGCUGACGAGUGGCGGACGGGUGAGUAAUGUCUGGGAAACUGCCUGAUGGAGGGGGAUAACUACUGGAAACGGUAGCUAAUACCGCAUAACGUCGCAAGACCAAAGAGGGGGACCCUCGGGCCUCUUGCCAUCGGAUGUGCCCAGAUGGGAUUAGCUUGUUGGUGGGGUAACGGCUCACCAAGGCGACGAUCCCUAGCUGGUCUGAGCGGAUGACCAGCCACACUGGAACUGAGAAACGGUCCAGACUCCUACGGGAGGAAGCAGUGGGGAAUAUUGCACAAUGGGCGCAAGCCUGAUGCAGCAAUGCCGCGUGUAUGAAGAAGGCCUUCGGGUUGUAAAGUACUUUCAGCGGGGAGGAAGGGAGUAAAGUUAAUACCUUUGCUCAUUGACGUUACCCGCAGAAGAAGCACCGGCUAACUCCGUG